rnacentral:rRNA from 1 species
ACGUAGGACGCAAGCGUUAUCCGGAAUUACUGGGCGUAAAGGGCUCGUAGGCGGCCAACUAAGUCAGACGUGAAAUCCCCAGGCUCAACCUGGGAACUGCGUCUGAUACUGGAUGGCUUGAAUUCGGGAGAGGGAUGCAGAAUUCCAGGUGUAGCGGUGAAAUGCGUAGAUAUCUGGAGGAAUACCGGUGGCGAAGGCGGCAUCCUGGACCGACAUUGACGCUGAUGAGCGAAAGCUAGGGGAGCAAACGGGA